rnacentral:rRNA from 1 species
UACGAGGGGGGCGAGCGUUUGUUCGGAAUUAUUGGGCGUAAAGGGUGCGUAGGCGGUUUGGUAAGUCUGAUGUGAAAUCUAUGGGCUCAACUCAUAGUCUGCAUCGGAAACUGCCGGGCUUGAGUGUGGGAGAGGUGAGUGGAAUUCCUGGUGUAGCGGUGAAAUGCGUAGAUAUCAGGAGGAACACCUGUGGCGAAGGCGGCUCACUGGCCCGAUACUGACGCUGAGGUGCGAAAGCGUGGGGAGCAAACAGG